GAUGAAGAACGCAGUGAAAUGCGAUAAGUAAUGUGAAUUGCAGAAUUCAGUGAAUCAUCGAAUCUUUGAACGCAUCUUGCGCUCCUUGGUAUUCUGAGGAGCAUGCCUGUUUGAGUGUCAUUAAAUUCUCAACUACACUGACUUUGAAUUGGUGUGGCUUGGAUUUGGGGGGAAAAUUGUUGUGGGCUUUUUGUAUAGUCUGCUCCCCUGAAAUUGAUUAGCGGUACCUUUGUGGAACUGUCUACAGGUGUGAUAAUUAUCUACAUCUUAGACAUCUGCUGGAAUGCUGCUUUCUAAACCUUACUUGUAUUGACAAUCUUGACCUCAAAUCAGGUAGGACUACCCGCUGAACUUAAGCAUAUCAAUAAGCGGAGA
rnacentral:misc_RNA from 1 species